rnacentral:rRNA from 1 species
UUCGCAAUGCCCGAAAGGGUGACGAAGCGACGCCGCGUGCGGGAAGAAGGCCUUCGGGUUGUAAACCGCUGUCGGGAGUUAAGAAAUGCAAGGGUGUUAACAGCAUCCUUGCUUGACUAAGGCUCCGGAGGAAGCCACGGCUAACUCUGUGCCAGCAGCCGCGGUAAUACAGAGGCGGCAAGCGUUGUUCGGAAUUAUUGGGCGUAAAGAGCACGUAGGCGGCUGUGUAAGUCGGUUGUGAAAGCCUUCCGCUCAACGGGAGAACGGCAUCCGAUACUGCAUGGCUUGAGUGCGGGAGGGGAGAGUGGAACUUCUGGUAGAGCGGUGAAAUGCGUAGAUAUCAGAAGGAACACCGGCGGCGAAGGCGACUCUCUGGCCCGUAACUGACGCUGAGUGUGCGAAAGCUAGGGGAGCAAACGGGAUUAGAUACCCCGGUAGUCCUAGCCGUAAACGAUGGGCACUAAGUAGAGGGGUUUUA